CCUACGGGAGGCUGCAGUAGGGAAUAUUUCUCAAUGGGGUAAACCCUGAAGCAGCAACGCCGCGUGAAGGAUGAAGGUUUUCGGAUUGUAAACUCCUUUUGUUAGAGAAGAUAAUGACGGUAUCUAACGAAUAAGCACCGGCUAACUCCGUGCCAGCAGCCGCGGUCACACGGAGGGUGCAAGCGUUACUCGGAAUCACUGGGGGGAAAGGUCGCGUAGGCGGGAUAGCAAGUCAGAUGGGAAAUCCUAUGGGUUAACCAUAGAACUGCAUUUGAAACUGGUAUUCUAGAGUAGGGGAGAGGUAGGUGGAAUUCUUGGUGUAGGGGUAAAAUGCGUAGAGAUCAAGAAGAAUACUCAUUGCGAAGGCGACAUGCUAGAACAUAACUGACGCUGAUGCGCGAAAGCGUGGGGAGCAAACAGGAUUAGAUACCCGUGUAGUC
rnacentral:rRNA from 1 species